GAAACAGCAAGCAACAGAAUGUCAAACCAAAAAUAAAUCGGGCAUGUUUCCUUUCUAAGGCAGAGGGGCCAGCUCCUCUUGUACUUGGCUCUCAAAUUCUUGCUGAAAUUCUGGGAAUCCGUCUUGAAAGAAAAUGCUUGCAUGCAGAUAAGAAAUAAAGCAGAUGCCAGAAGAGUGGAGGAUAGGAGCACAGCUUCAUGGAACUUUUGUGAGCCUCACUUUCGAGCCUGCAACAUGGGCAUAAAACCCCUGCCUCUUCCUCCGUCUGGAGCUGCUAAGAAGACCAAUGGAUAACACUGACCAACAGGCCCUGGGCACAAUAUGAAACAAUUUUCCAAAGUUAACAAAGCUGGAUUUCUCAACCUAGCUGAUGAGAGAAACAUGCAAACAAAUCAUUGCCAUCCCAUGCAAUCAAUGCAGCCCCAGAAGAAAGUUCCAAAUUCAUCUGGUCUCCAAAGAAGAGUGAUCGACUCAGCUUGGUUGAAUCUGAGAAUUCACAGAAGUGGAAACUCAUACUGGGUCUCAGAAGAUGAAAAGGAAUUUGCCAGAAAGAGGAAAGGGAGGACAUUCCAGGAAGACAAGUAAGAGAGACUCUUCAGCAGGCUCCAUGCGGAGCCUGACUCUGGGCUCGAUCUCACGGCCCGGGGAUCAUGAACUGAGCUGAAAUCAAGAGCCGGACGCUCCAGCGACUGAGCCACCCAGGCGCCCCUAACUGCAUGGACCUUUCUAAAACAAAGUUACUGGGGCUGGGAAUGCGGAAGUAAACGCCACAGCCCCAGUGUUCAAGAAACAUGCACGGGCCAGUGUAGAACACACAACUGAACCAGCAAUUACAGAGCGUUUUGAGUCCUUUACGGUACAUGUGACAGCAUUUCACAUCUGCUAUCACAACUUCCUUCACUCCUCAGCUGCUCUGUACGUUCACCCCACCAGUCACUCCACGGCGAGCACCCAAGAUUGCCAGCAAACACAGGAAGCGAGAAGAGGCCGGAACAGAGGCUCCUCGCAGCUGUCCGAGGAAACCAGCCCCACUGACACCUCCAUGGAUCUUUCUGGCCUCCAGAAUUGUGAGAUGCAUUUCUGUGGUGUGAGCCACCCCGUUUGGUUGCUUUGUUACCGCGGCGCCAACGGACAAAGCAUGCUGACAAGGAAGGAAAAGAAGGUGAAGACCUCAAAGGAAGUUUCACAUCCGCUCACAGUAAAAAGAAAGUGUUGCCAAUCCCACAAGCAAAAAGAAAGGCGUUUGCAGUGUGCACACCCUGAGCAGCGGGCCGAGGACACCCCGGAGCGCCAGGGUGAGGCGCAACACUCCGCGAUGCCAGUGGUGACAGUCUCUGUCCUCCACCCAAUCAGAGGAAACUAUACGAACAGCACACUGCUCCUGCCAGCGCCUUCCAUGAUAGUUUCGGCGUGCAGUCAGCGGCAUUAUUGCAAAUGUGUAGUAAAUACAUUUGUAUUACUAUACAUAUAGUAAAUACGUGGGCAGUAAACUGGCUCCUCAAAAAAAAGCAAAACAUACACAUACUUUUUAUUGUAAAUUUUAAUAAUAAAUAUGUCUCAAUUUGCAAAUAGUAAUACUGUUUAUGUACCUUUCUAACCAAGUUAUUCCCACGGAACGCUUUUGUGGAUUUUUAGCAAACCCUUGCCUCCAUAGCCAACCUAUAAUUGCAGUGCAACAUGACUGGCAAAUGGAGCUGCUCCCCAAUCCCUACCUCUUUUCCCAGUCCGUGUGCUGUCAUUAAACCUGAUACGAGAUUUUUUGAUUUUUAAACUACGUCUCGCCCUUGUGUUAAUAGUCGUUGAACUGAAAUUCUCCCAGCGCCGGCUGUAAAUCAGGCCUAAGCUAUGACAUCUGCUGAUUUCCAGGGUGUGCGGACUGUA